CGGGUUUCACGUAACGCUUAAGGCCAAAGAGGUCAACGAGCGAUGUACCGGAUUUGAUACAAGAAAUUAGAAACGCGUUCGAAGACCGUUUAAUUGAAGCACAUCCGGUAAAAGAAACUUUUUACGGAGCUAAUGGGACCUCCCAGUGGUUCGACUGCAGUUCAAACAGACGAACGAUUAACGUCAAAACUAACUCUGAUCCAAACAUCCAAAUAUCUGUUUUAGGUACUGCAAGAUACUCGUCGACGACGCAUCCAGUGAAUACUUCACUGACAUACCCGAAUUACUAGCGACUAUG